GACGAACGCUGGCGGCGUGCUUAACACAUGCAAGUCGAACGGGAUUUAGUAAACAGAAGCCUCGGUGGAAGAUUACUAAUGAGAGUGGCGAACGGGUGAGUAACGCGUGAGCAACCUGCCUAUGACAGUGGGAUAGCCUCGGGAAACCGGGAUUAAUACCGCAUAAAAUCGUAGAAACACAUGUUUUAACGGUCAAAGAUUUAUCGGUCAUAGAUGGGCUCGCGCCUGAUUAGCUAGUUGGUGAGAUAACAGCCCACCAAGGCGACGAUCAGUAGCCGGUCUGAGAGGAUGAACGGCCACAUUGGAACUGAGACACGGUCCAAACUCCUACGGGAGGCAGCAGUGGGGAAUAUUGCACAAUGGGGGAAACCCUGAUGCAGCGACGCCGCGUGAACGAAGAAGGUAUUCGUAUCGUAAAGUUCUGUCCUAUGGGAAGAUAAUGACAGUACCAUAGAAGAAAGCUCCGGCUAAAUACGUG
rnacentral:rRNA from 1 species